rnacentral:tRNA from 1 species
GCGUCUGUGGCGAAAUUGGUAGACGCGCUAGACUUAGGAUCUAGUGUCUUACGAUGUGCAGGUUCGAGUCCUGUCAGACGCACCA